rnacentral:lncRNA from 1 species
GUCAGACCUAUAAUGGUUUCCUUUUAUAAAUUGUGACUUGGAUGGAGAGUUGUCUCAUAGGCACUCAUUCCACAUCUUCCUAUAUCUAAGACCUUGAUAGAGGCUUUCAGUAUAGAAUUAGGCCUAAUCAUGUGAGUCAUUGCAGCAUGUGAAUUUGUGUGAUUUAUAUAUAUGUUGUGUAUAAAUUAUAAUGUGUACAGAAUUUUGUACUAGUUAUCAGUGUUUAAUGAACUACUUUACAACACAAAUGGAUGAUACAAGCACACAGUCUUUUGUUUCGAAUAUUUCUGUCACAUUUCUAGAACUACACGAUGAAGUCUCAUACUGAGCAUUGAUACAAAAAACAUCUUAAGAACACAAAAAAGACUUUUUUUAUGGAUAUGAUAUUGGUGUGGGGAGAAAAAUAAAAAUAAAAUUUUAACUAUUUUUAGGUGUUCCUUUUUUCCAGUUUGAGGACAUGGAGUAUAGCACUGAUGUGAAGUUGAAGUAUACAAAUGUGAACUUAAGACAUUCAGCUGAUAUUUUUUUUUAGAAAAAGGAUGUUUAAGGGUCUUAAAUAUGUUCUUUACCCCCCUAAAAAAACACUCCCUUCUGACAGUUGUGUCAUAGCGCAACAAAGGAACAAUUCAAUCUGUAUACAAUGGCCAGAC